AUACUUACUUGGCGUCGGGGAUGCCCUGAUCAUGAAGUGGGCUUCCCCGGUCGGAGGCCGUCCAUUGCAGUACGGACGGCUGCCACUUCCGCAAAUUGCGGUUGGUUGGGGCGCACAAUUUUUAGUGC
rnacentral:snRNA from 1 species